UACGGGGGGGGCAAGCGUUGUUCGGAAUUACUGGGCGUAAAGGGCUCGUAGGUGGCCAACUAAGUCAGACGUGAAAUCCCCAGGCUCAACUUGGGAACUGCGUCUGAUACUGGAUGGCUUGAAUUCGGCAGAGGCCGGUGGAAUUCCCGGUGUAGUGGUGAAAUGCGUAGAGAUCGGGAGGAACACCCGUGGCGAAGGCGGCCGGCUGGGCCUGUCCUGACGCCUGAGGCGCGAAAGCGUGGGGAGCGAACAGG
rnacentral:rRNA from 1 species